AGCUAGCUGUCAAGAGUUCCAGUCUUUAGGAUGAAUAAAUAAAAAUCCCUUCCAUUUCUCCACAGGCUAUUCCCAAAGAAUUGGAUCUAUGGAUUCAUUCAGGCAGCAAGUUAAUCCAUCAUUUAAGGAAAAUGAAUUAUUUCAUCCACAAGAACAUGUAGUGAUGGAAAUAAUUUGCACCUGCUCAGUAUUCCUUAUAAAGUCUACCUAUGAAUUUGAAAAGCUGUUUAUGAAAUAAAUGUUCUUGAUCAAU